rnacentral:rRNA from 1 species
AUCGCAGGCUGCAACCCGCCUGCGUGAAGUUGGAAUCGCUAGUAAUCGCGGAUCAGCAUGCCGCGGUGAAUACGUUCCCGGGCCUUGUACACACCGCCCGUCACACCAUGAGAGUCGGGAACACCCGAAGUCCGUAGUCUAACCGCAAGGGGGACGCGGCCGAAGGUGGGUUCGAUAAUUGGGGUGAAGUCGUAACAAGGUAAC